ensembl:misc_RNA Metazoa_SRP Metazoan signal recognition particle RNA
GCCAGGCAUGGUGGUGCAUGCCUGUAAUCCCAGCUACUCGGGAGGCUGAGGCAGGAGAAUCGCUUGAACCCAGGAGGUGGAGGUUGCAGUGAGCCAAGCUGUACUCCACCAUGGGUGACAGAGUGAUAUUCUGUCUCAA